rnacentral:rRNA from 1 species
GACAGAGGUCCCGAGCGUUAGGCGGAAUCACUGGGCUUAAAGCGUGUGUAGGCGGAUCGUUAAGUGCCUUGUGAAAUCCCAUGGCUUAACCAUGGAACUGCUUGGCAUACUGGCGGUCUUGAGCCACUCAGGGGCAACCGGAACAAAUGGUGGAGCGGUGAAAUGCGUAGAUAUCAUUUGGAACGCCAAUGGUGAAAACAGGUUGCUGGGAGUGUGCUGACGCUGAGACACGAAAGCCAGGGGAGCGAACAGG